UUCCCAGGGGUCCAGUGGUUAGGGCUUGGCGCUUUCACUGCCUGGACCCAGGUUCAAUCCCUGGUCGGGAAA
rnacentral:tRNA from 1 species